GUGGGGAAUAUUGGGCAAUGGGCGAAAGCCUGACCCAGCAACGCCGCGUGAAGGAAGAAGGUUUUCGGAUCGUAAACUUCUAUCCUUGGUGAAGAUAAUGACGGUAGCCAAGAAGGAAGCCCCGGCUAACUACGUGCCAGCAGCCGCGGUAAUACGUAGGGGACAAGCGUUGUCCGGAAUGAUUGGGCGUAAAGGGCGCGUAGGCGGCCCGGUAAGUCUGAAGUGAAAGUCCUGCUUUUAAGGUGGGAAUUGCUUUGGAUACUGUCGGGCUUGAGUGCAGGAGAGGUAAGCGGAAUUCCCGGUGUAGCGGUGAAAUGCGUAGAGAUCGGGAGGAACACCAGUGGCGAAGGCGACUUACUGGACUGUAACUGACGCUGAGGCGCGAAAGUGUGGGGAGCAAACAGGAUUAGAAACCCCAGUAGUCC
rnacentral:rRNA from 1 species